rnacentral:rRNA from 1 species
UCAGGACGAACGCUGGCGGCGUGCCUAAUACAUGCAAGUCGAACGGCUUUUCUAUGGAAGCUUGCUUCCACUGAGAAGAUAGUGGCGAACGGGUGAGUAACACGUGGGUAACCUGCCCAUAAGAGGGGGGAUAACAUCCGGAAACGGGUGCUAAUACCGCAUAGUUUUCUUGAUCGCAUGAUCGGGAAAGGAAAGACGGCCUUUGUGCUGUCGCUUAUGGAUGGACCCGCGGCGUAUUAGUUAGUUGGUGAGGUAACGGCUCACCAAGACGAUGAUACGUAGCCGACCUGAGAGGGUGAUCGGCCACAUUGGGACUGAGACACGGCCCAAACUCCUACGGGAGGCAGCAGUAGGGAAUCUUCCGCAAUGGACGAAAGUCUGACGGAGCAACGCCGCGUGAGUGAAGAAAGGUUUUCGGAUCGUAAAACUCUGUUGUCAGAGAAGAACAAGUUGGAGAGUAACUGCUCCAGCCUUGACGGUAUCUGACCAGAAAGCCACGGCUAACUACGUGCCAGCCGCUGC